rnacentral:lncRNA from 1 species
UCACCUUAAAGAUCUAUUAGACUCAGGGGGAGCUUACAAACCUCUAUCCCAGUAGUCAACUUAUUAAUUAGAUCAACAACAAUUGAACAUUUUAAAUACUAGUGUUUGUCAUCAUCAAAAAGGGGGAGAUUGUUGGAACAAAAUAUGUUUCACAAUGAACCUUAUUGAGUUUUGAUGAUAACAAGGUAUUAAAAAUUGUCAAUUGGUUAUUACUAAUUAUUGUUCAAGUGUACAGGACCAAAGGCUAGUCAAGUAAUUUCAACAGGUCCUGGAAGAACAAUGGAAAGAAAAAGUAUUCCAAGCAUCUGAAGAAAAC